UGCCAUGUAAAGGCGCUGACGCACCAACCCGAUGAUCGGCCGUCGGACAGUCUGGCGAGGUCGGUGAGUCGAGUCGGUCCGGCGUGUUCCGUGCCGUCGUCCGUCGGAGGAGCCGUCGGCUUACAUUUGGGCCGAUUAGACAUGUUGACUCGGGACUCAAUGACCGGUCUGAUUGGUGGAGUGCUAGCCCUUGACUAGUGAAUUAGUGCCAUUAUGUUAAAACACUUACCGGAAAUAUUUUCAGAAACAUGUUACGGUGAACAAGUUUCGUAAAAUAUGCGAUCGCACUCCGAACGAGCCGCCAUGAUGGUCGGCUUUGAAAUUCGGGAGAAGCCAGACCCACGUGACGCUUUUGUCAUUUCCGUUUUUUUUUUUUGGGCGACAGUAAAGCUCAGCGCCGCCUGCUGUCACUUCGGUGUGUCCUGAGGUACUCGUUGGACCGAUGGGAGCCAAUGAUCAGUCCGACUUCCUUUACUGCCGCCAGUCGGCCGUCGGGUCGGUGUGUCAGAGCCUUAAAAGCCUUAAACACUACAUGCCCUGCGUCAAACAGACGAGGAGUUAGUAAGUUAGUUAAUAGCUGCUACUAAUGCAUUUCCUCAUUUUUUCUGCUCGUUUUAUUGCCAU